rnacentral:rRNA from 1 species
AUUGAACGCUGGCGGCAGGCCUAACACAUGCAAGUCGAACGAGUGGCGGACGGGUGAGUAAUGUCUGGGAAACUGCCUGAUGGAGGGGGAUAACUACUGGAAACGGUAGCUAAUACCGAAUACAAUCGGAUGUGCCCAGAUGGGAUUAGCUAGUAGGUGGGGUAACGGCUCACAUAGGCAACGAUCCCUAGCUGGUCUGAGAUGAUGACCAGCCACACGGGAACUGAGACACGGUCCAGACUCCUACGGGAGGCAGCAGUGGGGAAUAUUGCACAAUGGGCGCAAGCCUGAUGCAGCCAUGCCGCGUGUAUGAAGAAGGCCUUCGGGUUGUAAAGUACUUUCAGCGUGGAGGCGUUACUCGCAGAAGAAGCACCGGCUAACUCCGUGCCAGCAGCCGCGGUAAUAC